AGUGAACGCUGGCGGUAGGCCUAACACAUGCAAGUCGAACGGCAGCACAGUAAGAGCUUGCUCUUACAGGUGGCGAGUGGCGGACGGGUGAGGAAUACAUCGGAAUCUACUUUUUCGUGGGGGAUAACGUAGGGAAACUUACGCUAAUACCGCAUACGACCUACGGGUGAAAGCAGGGGAUCUUCGGACCUUGCGCGAUUGAAUGAGCCGAUGUCGGAUUAGCUAGUUGGCGGGGUAAAGGCCCACCAAGGCGACGAUCCGUAGCUGGUCUGAGAGGAUGAUCAGCCACACUGGAACUGAGACACGGUCCAGACUCCUACGGGAGGCAGCAGUGGGGAAUAUUGGACAAAGGGCGCAAGCCUGAUCCAGCCAUACCGCGUGGGUGAAGAAGGCCUUCGGGUUGUAAAGCCCUUUUGUUGGGAAAGAAAAGCAGCAGGUUAAUACCCCGCUGUUCUGACGGUACCCAAAGAAUAAGCACCGGCUAACUUCGUG
rnacentral:rRNA from 1 species